rnacentral:rRNA from 1 species
CCUACGGGAGGCAGCAGUGGGGAAUAUUGCACAAUGGGCGAAAGCCUGAUGCAGCGACGCCGCGUGAGGGAUGACGGCCUUCGGGUUGUAAACCUCUUUCAGUAGGGAAGAAGCGAAAGUGACGGUACCUACAGAAGAAGCACCGGCUAACUACGUGCCAGCAGCCGCGGUAAUACGUAGGGUGCGAGCGUUGUCCGGAAUUAUUGGGCGUAAAGAGCUUGUAGGCGGUUUGUCGCGUCUGCUGUGAAAAUCCGGGGCUCAACCCCGGACUUGCAGUGGGUACGGGCAGACUAGAGUGUGGUAGGGGAGACUGGAAUUCCUGGUGUAGCGGUGAAAUGCGCAGAUAUCAGGAGGAACACCGAUGGCGAAGGCAGGUCUCUGGGCCACUACUGACGCUGAGAAGCGAAAGCGUGGGGAGCGAACAGGAUUAGAUACCCUGGUAGUCCACGCCGUAAACGUUGGGAACUAGGUGUGGGCCUCAUUCCACGAGGUCUGUGCCGCAGCUAACGCAUUAAGUUCCCCGCCUGGGGAGUACGGCCGCAAGGCUAAAACUCAAAUGAAUUGACGG